UACAUUUAGCGAUGAUGAUCUUAUCCUCUAUAUUCUUGGAGGUCUCGGAUCCGAAUAUGACUCGGUUGUCAUAAAUC